CAGAGUAUCGUCAGAACAGAGUAACAAGCCCAAUCUAGAACUCACCGAGAGCUUAAGAUAGGGUAAAUCAAACCUAGAAAGUGAUCAAGGAUAGAGAGAUCACCUCCAAGGAACGAGAUUUGAUGAUGAUGAUAGGGUUUGUGUUUGAGAGCGUAAGAGAUAAGAGGAUAAGACAAAAUGAUUUUUUGAUAGAUAUUCUGCAAAAUGCAGUCACGCAGUACAUAAAGACAACAACAACGGUCAUGAAGACUCAUUAGCUGGCAAAAGUAAAAAGCAAAAGCAAAAGGAACAAAACCGGACAGAACCCGAGUUAUUGAACCGACAUAACAGAAAUUGAAAUUGCAGAAUUUAAACAGGGUAUAACCGGUGUGUGACUCUAUCACAUUAUGGUUUCGAACUGAAUCUGAUUAUUGAUUGACUUUGUGGUUUCUUCGAUUUUCCAUAGUCAUAGAAUGCACUGCUCGAUUUUGCGAGAGUGGUGAAGGCCAAAUAACAAGUUGGUAUGCUAGAAAGAAGAAGUUGUACGAACCAACAGUGUGUGUGAAGCCAUGGAUAAACUUCAAGUAGUUUCUGUCCAAAAAAAAAAAAAGAAAACUUCAAGUAGGUACAUGAGUUUAUACAUGCCAGUAAUGAUGCGCCUACCAUGCUCCCUCCGAACUUGGUUGCCACAAAGGUAAGAAUAUGACUAAGGAAUUAAAAAAUUCAGGGGAUACCUUUUUUGUAUGUAAGACAUAGAUAUGAAUGUGAUCGGUGCAAUAUCAACUUUGUUGUUUACCAUCGCUACAAGGAGGUCCUGACAACAUCCAAGUCGCAGCUCUUGCUAUUGCCUUGAAACAAGUAGAAGUGCCAUUCCAAACAACCAAGCUUGCAUACAGCAGAUGAAGAAAACGCUCAAGUUUUUGCAUUGGCUCUGCUUAGAAGAAAAUACAGACUGGUUACAGGGAACGUCUACAAGAAGGUAAGUGAGAUGUGCCAUAUAACCUUAAACAAGACUGCUAUAUUUGGUGACAAUGGUACAAUAUCUCUUGAAGCCAGGUGUAACUGUGGAGACCGGCGACGACAACAGAGGCCGUAUAGAGUCUGAUUUCGAGACAGUAGCGGACUUUCUGAUGAAGGCAGCUCAUAUAACAAGUGCGUUGCAGAGAAAGCAUGGCAAGCCGCACAAUUAGUUUGUGAAGAGUCUCAUAAACAAAGACAUAUGUGAGAUUAGGAACCGAGUCGAAGCAUUUGCUUUACAGUAUGAGAUGCAUACUUCUAGCUAGCAGAGAUAUAGCAACUGCUCAACAAGUAGCCAACGGCGCUCCCGCGUUUGCAGAAGACUUCUGAUUUCUAAGUUUUAAAGCCUAUAACUCUUUAGAGUAUCAUCACCAGUGAGCCAAACGGUUGUCUCUUCUGAGUCACCCUCUGUGACAGAUUGGAUGCUUGACAAUGCUUCCAGCUGCUAUUAUAACGAGACCUAUGGUCUGGCACUAUGACUCAGAUUCUGGUUUCAAUUACAGUUAUGGAAUUUUUUUUUUCAUUUUUUUCGGAUAGAAUAAUUGUACACAAUUUCUUUCUUCAUUUGGGACAACACUGAUAAUGAAAAAGGACGUUGGAUGACACAAGAUGAAGCAUACACUGCGGUUAAAGAAAACGUGGCAAGAAGCAACCAAGUCAAGCGUGCCUAGGAUGGUUCGUAAUCUGGUUUAUGGAGUACGUCCGGUGUCAGCUGCACUCUCCGUUUGGGAGACGAGAGUUCUAUGCUCUGUUUAUGGAAGAAGGUUUGGAUUUGAGCAAAAGCAAAAAAGUACUUCACAUCUACAAGUGUUUUAGACUUUGCAAACAGAGUAAAACAAAGAAAGCACAAAACGGAGCCUUCAGAUGCUUUGGUUGUGAUCCAACAGAGAAGAUAUGACUAUUAUGCAAGUUGAGUCAACAACCUCAACCCGUGAAAGUUUAUAUACUAUUAACUAGAUUAUCUUUUCUGUUUGAACAAAAAAAAAUGUUUUUUUUUAUGUUCAAAUGAUUAUUUUUUCUUGAAUGUAUAACUAUGGUAUGGUGGACACACUGAUUACUAUGUCUUUGUUAUAAAGUUGUAUUUUGAUAUAUUCCAUACAUACACAAUUUGGUUCA